AAGUCGUAACAAGGUUUCCGUAGGUGAACCUGCGGAAGGAUCAUUCAUGUGAUUUUUCAAACACCCAACUUCUUUGUUAACUAUUAGUUAAAACAAAGUGCUUUAGUUUCUGUGUUUUUCUUUUGUUGGCUGCGUUUUCUUUCAUCUUUCACUCUAUUUUCAAAUGCACUAAAAAAACAUCAAGAAAAUAGGAAAAGAAAUGAUAAAUGCUACCUUUUUAUACUUUUUAUAAAUUUACCCACAAAACAUUUUACCAUAAAAAAACACCAAAAAUUUAUUACAACUUUUAACGAUGGAUCCCUCGGCUCUCA
rnacentral:misc_RNA from 1 species